rnacentral:rRNA from 1 species
GGACUACAGGGGUAUCUAAUCCUGUUUGCUUCCCACGCUUUCGCGUCUCAGUGUCAGUCUCUGCCCAGAGAGCCGCCUUCGCCACUGGUGUUCCUCCCGAUAUCUACGAAUUUCACCUCUACACCGGGAAUUCCGCUCUCCUCUUCAGGACUCCAGCCACGUAGUAUCGAGUGCCCUUCCGGGGUUGAGCCCCGGGCUUUCACACCCGACUCGCCUGGCCACCUACACGCGCUUUACGCCCAGUAAUUCCGAGCAACGUUCGCACCCUCUGUCUUACCGCGGCUGCUGGCAC